AUUGAACGCUGGCGGCAGGCCUAACACAUGCAAGUCGAGCGGAUGAAGGGAGCUUGCUUCUGGAUUCAGCGGCGGACGGGUGAGUAAUGCCUAGGAAUCUGCCUGGUAGUUGGGGAUAACGUCCGGAAACGGGCGCUAAUACCGCAUCCGUCCUGAGGGUGAAAGUGGGGGAUCUUCGGACCUCACGCUAUCAGAUGAGCCUAGGUCGGAUUAGCUAGUUGGUGGGGUAAAGGCCUACCAAGGCGACGAUCCGUAACUGGUCUGAGAGGAUGAUCAGUCACACUGGAACUGAGACACGGUCCAGACUCCUACGGGAGGCAGCAGUGGGGAAUAUUGGACAAUGGGCGAAAGCCUGAUCCAGCCAUGCCGCGUGUGUGAAGAAGGUCUUCGGAUUGUAAAGCACUUUAAGUUGGGAGGAAGGGCAGUAAGUUAAUACCUUGCUGUAUUGACGUUACCAACAGAAUAAGCACCGGCUAACUUCGUG
rnacentral:rRNA from 1 species